GUUAUACNUAGGGNCNAGCNUNUCCGGAUUAUUGGCGUAAAGAGUACGUAGGUGGCUAUNUAGCGCAGGGUGAAAGGCAGUGGUUNACCANUGUUAGCCUUGCGAACUGCAUGGCUUGAGUGCAGGAGAGGAAAGCGGNAUUCNUAGUGUAGCGGUGNAAUGCGUAGAUAUUAGGAGGAAUACCAGUGGCGAAGGCGACUUUCUGGCCUUAAACUGACGCUGAGGAACGAAAGCGUGGGUAGCAAACAGGAUUAGAUACCCUGGUAGUCCACGCCGUAAACGAUGAGUGCUAGGUGUCGGGAGUCAAAUCUCGGUGCCGUCGCAAACGCAAUAAGCACUCCGCCUGGGGAGUACGUGCGCAAGCAUGAAACUCAAAGGAAUUGACGGGGACCCGCACAAGCAGCGGAGCAUGUGGUUUAAUUCG
rnacentral:rRNA from 1 species